rnacentral:misc_RNA from 1 species
GAUGAAGAACGUAGCGAAAUGCGAUAAGUAAUGUGAAUUGCAGAAUUCAGUGAAUCAUCGAAUCUUUGAACGCACAUUGCGCCCUCUGGUAUUCCUCAGGGCAUGCCUGUUCGAGCGUCAUCUAACCCCUCAAGCAGCGCUUGGUGUUGGGCGCUUGUCCCCCCCCCCGCUCGGGCGGGGACUCGCCUCGAAAACAUUGGCGGCCCGUGUAUUGGCUUCGAGCGCAGCACAAUUGCCCUCGUCCCCUCUCCGCGCGGGCGCUCCAGCAAGCGACACACCCACGUUUUGACCUCGGAUCAGGUAGGGAUACCCGCUGAACUUAAGCAUAUCAAUAAGCGGAGGA